UACGAAGGGGGCUAGCGUUGCUCGGAAUUACUGGGCGUAAAGGGCGCGUAGGCGGCCAGCACAAGUCAGUUGUGAAAUCUCCGAGCUUAACUCGGAAAGGUCAACUGAUACUGUGCGGCUAGAGUGCAGAAGGGGCAACUGGAAUUCUUGGUGUAGCGGUGAAAUGCGUAGAUAUCAAGAGGAACACCUGCGGCGAAGGCGGGUUGCUGGGCUGACACUGACGCUGAGGCGCGAAAGCUAGGGGAGCGAACGGG
rnacentral:rRNA from 1 species